rnacentral:rRNA from 1 species
GCCAGACUCCUACGGGAGGCAGCAGUGGGGGAUAUUGCACAAUGGGGGGAACCCUGAUGCAGCGACGCCGCGUGGGUGAAGGAGCGUUUCGGCGCGUAAAGCCCUAUCGGCAGGGAAGAAGGAGGACGGUACCUGACUAAGAAGCCCCGGCUAACUACGUGCCAGCAGCCGCGGUAAUACGGAGGAUGCGAGCGUUAUCCGGAUUUGCUGGGUGUAAAGGGGGCGCAGACGGCAGCGCAAGCCAGGAGUGAAAGCCCGGGGCCCAACCCCGGGACUGCUCUUGGAACUGCGCGGCUGGAGUGCAGGAGGGGCAGGCGGAAUUCCUGGUGUAGCGGUGAAAUGCGUAGAUAUCAGGAGGAACACCGGUGGCGAAGGCGGCCUGCUGGACUGCGACUGACGUUGAGGCCCGAAAGCGUGGGGAGCAAACAGGAUUAGAUACCCCCGUA